UCCUUCAACAUUCCUUCAACAUUCCUUCAACAAUCCAUCAACAUUCCUUCAACAAUCCUUCUACAUUCCUUCUACAUUCCUUCAACAAUCCUUCAACAUUCCUUCAACAAUCCUUCUACAUUCCUUCAACAUUCCUUCAACAAUCCUUCUACAUUCCUUCAACAUUCCUUCAACAAUCCUUCAACAAUCCUUCUCUACAUUCCUUCAACAAUCCUUCUACAUUCCUUCAACAAUCCUUCAACAUUCCUUCAACAAUCCUUCAACAAUCCUUCUCUACAUUCCUUCAACAACCCUUCAACAAUCCUUCUACAUUCCUUCAACAUUCCUUCAACAAUCCUUCUACAUUCCUUCAACAUUCCUUCAACAAUCCUUCAACAAUCCUUCAACAAUCCUUCUCAACAUUCCUUCAACAUUCCUUCAACAAUCCUUCAACAAUCCUUCUCUACAUUCCUUCAACAACCCUUCAACAAUCCUUCUACAUUCCUUCAACAUUCCUUCAACAAUCCUUCUACAUUCCUUCAACAUUCCUUCAACAAUCCUUCUCAACAAUCCUUCAACAUUCCUUCAACAAUCCUUCUCAACAUUCCUUCAACAAUCCUUCUCAACAUUCCUUCAACAAUCCUUCUCAACAUUCCUUCAACAAUCCUUCAACAUUCCUUCAACAAUCCUUCUGGGAUCUCUACCAGCGACAUGACAAUAUGAAAGGUGACUAAGUGUUAGUGAAUUCCUCCAGAACCCCAGAAGGCUGGGAUCUCUACCAGCUACAUGACAAUAUGAAAGGUGACUAAGUGUUAGUGAAUUCCUCCAGAACCCCAGAAGGCUGGGAUCUCUACCAGCUACAUGACAAUAUGAAAGGUGACUAAGUGUUAGUGAAUUCCUCCAGAACCCCAGAAGGCUGGGAUCUCUACCAGCUACAUGACAAUAUGAAAGGUGACUAAGUGUUAGUGAAUUCCUCCAGAACCCCAGAAGGCUGGGAUCUCUACCAGCUACAUGACAAUAUGAAAGGUGACUAAGUGUUAGUGAAUUCCUCCAGAACCCCAGAAGGCUGGGAUCUCUACCAGCUACAUGACAAUAUGAAAGGUGACUAAGUGUUAGUGAAUUCCUCCAGAACCCCAGAAGGCUGGGAUCUCUACCAGCUACAUGACAAUAUGAAAGGUGACUAAGUGUUAGUGAAUUAAAGGUUUUAGCUCAGCAGAAGAGAGAGGCAUAUUAAUUAAUAAGUAAUUAUGAUGAUUUAAUAGUCAGGUAAUUAGCUUCUUAUUCUGUCAAUCCAAUCCCAGUCUGUGGUACAUUCAUCUGGUAAUAGAGGGUAGAGAGUCCUUUCAGAGAGUUAUUAGAGAAAAUGAUGGCUCUCUCUCUCUCUCUCUCUCUCUCUCUCUCUCUCUCUCUCUCUCUCUCUCUCUCUCUCUCUCUCUCUCUCUGCUUGUGGGUUUUCACUGCUCAGUUAAAUUGAACUUGACAGAUCACUAGGCUACAAACAACUAAAUACAGACUUACAGAACAAACUGUGUGGGUGGGUAUCUAGCAUAUCAGAGAGAGAGAGAGAAAGAGAUAAGAAGGGAGAGAGAGAGAGAGAGAGAGAGAGAGAGAGAGAGAAGGAGGAGGAGGAGAGAGAGAGGAGAUGGAGAAAUAGAUUAUUUUGUUACAGUAAACCUCUAAACUCUUGUCUCUACCUGCAGACUUCCUCAAUGAAAGCCUCUAUAUCAUUACAAAAACACAUUCUUGAUCAGAUGCCAUGGAUCAGACUCAAUGACCUGAUUUAACAGUCCGCUGGCACACGAAUUCAAGAUUUACACACCAGAACAGUCCCAAAACCCUAAACCCUAUAUAGGGCACUACUUUAGACCAGGGCCCUUACGGAGAAUGGUGCCAUCACAGGCCAUGUCUGCUUUUUACACUAAAUCAAACAGAUCUCUGAAUCUGAGAUUUGUAUCAUUCAUCUCAAUGUUUUCACGUUUGGCUCAUGUCAUGACUGACGUUAUCGGUAUUAAUACGCAUUAACACACACACACACACACACACACACACACACACACACACACACACACACACACACACACACACACACACACACACACACACACACACACACACACACACACACACACAACCUCUG